CUAUAAUCCGUGGCUUCGGGCAAUACGUUCUUGGUGCAACUUUUGUUGUUGUUUUCUUUGUGUUUUCUGCCACAAUAUGGCUAAUUUUGUAUGCAAAGCUUUAAGGUGGAAUGCACACAGACGUAAUCGUGGGUAUAUAAAACACGCCGAUACUUAGCAGCAAGCGUCGACUUAUGCCCGUAUACCUGUUUGCCUGCUCGGUCCGAGUAUACAAUGUCUGUUUCAAAGUCUACACAACUCUUCUUCCUUGCUGUGACUAUCAUAAUGCUAAAUCAGCAUAUGGCAGAAGCUUACGGCAACGACGCGCAUCAUGCCCCUGGAAAUGGACAUCCUUAUGGUAAUGACGGGCUCCAACCUCCAAGAAAUGGUACCCUCAUAGACAGCGGAGGCCUUCCUCCUCCAACGUGCAACAGACAGCAGUGCAAGUUUAAAGUAAAUGGGAACUCUACUGGUUGCCCUCAAGAUUGUCUAUGUCAGAGUGAUGGAGAUUCAAGCCAGGAUGGACCAGGAAAAUGCCGCGAUAUGCCAUAAAAUUACUUCCUGGUAAUGCCGCAAUUGAAAAAGAAAAUAA